rnacentral:piRNA from 1 species
UCCCAGCAUCCAUGUCAGGGGCUCACGGUU